ACCCGCACAAGCGGUGGAUGAUGUGGAUUAAUUCGAUGCAACGCGAAGAACCUUACCUACCCUUGACAUGUCCGGAACUUGCCAGAGAUGGCUUGGUGCCCGAAAGGGAAUCGGAACACAGGUGCUGCAUGGCUGCCGUCAGCUCGUGUCGUGAGAUGUUGGGUUAAGUCCCGCAACGAGCGCAACCCUUAUCAUUAGUUGCUACGCAAGGGCACUCUAAUGAGACUGCCGGUGACAAACCGGAGGAAGGUGGGGAUGACGUCAAGUCCUCAUGGCCCUUAUGGGUAGGGCUUCACACGUCAUACAAUGGUCGGUACAGAGGGUUGCCAAGCCGCGAGGCGGAGCCAAUCCCACAAAGCCGAUCGUAGUCCGGAUUGUUCUCUGCAACUCGAGAGCAUGAAGUCGGAAUCGCUAGUAAUCGCAGGUCAGCAUACUGCGGUGAAUACGUUCCCGGGUCUU
rnacentral:rRNA from 1 species